AGCUUUGCGCAGUGGCAGUAUCGUAGCCAGUGAGGUUUAUCCGAGGCACAAUUAUUGCUAAUUGACUGCUCAAUGCUAAUAUUUCAAGUUUCUUGCACCAUUUUGUGCCACGCAUUUAGUUAUUAUUAUAUACCAAAGUCC